UACGGGGGGGGCAAGCGUUGUUCGGGAUUACUGGGCGUAAAGGGCUCGUAGGCGGCCAACUAAGUCGGAUGUGAAAUCCCCAGGCUUAACCUGGGAACUGCAUCCGAUACUGGAUGGCUUGAAUCCGGGAGAGGGAUGCAGAAUUCCAGGUGUAGCGGUGAAAUGCGUAGAUAUCUGGAGGAAUACCGGUGGCGAAGGCGGCAUCCUGGACCGGCAUUGACGCUGAGGAGCGAAAGCUAGGGGAGCAAACGGG
rnacentral:rRNA from 1 species